GCUGUAGCUCAGUGGUAGAGCAUCUACUUUACAUGCAGGAGAUCCCAAAUUCAGUUCUUUGGCGUCUCCA